rnacentral:rRNA from 1 species
UACGUAGGGACCGAGCGUUGUCCGGAAUCAUUGGGCGUAAAGCGCGUGUAGGCGGCUUGAUAAGUCCGCUCUGAAAGCCCGGGGCUCAACCCCGGGAGGCGGGUGGAUACUGUCAAGCUCGAGUCCGGAAGAGGCGAGUGGAAUUCCUGGUGUAGCGGUGAAAUGCGCAGAUAUCAGGAGGAACACCAAUGGCGAAGGCAGCUCGCUGGGACGUGACUGACGCUGAGACGCGAAAGCGUGGGGAGCAAACAGG